rnacentral:rRNA from 1 species
AAUACUAUUAAACUGGCGAACGGGUGAGUAACGCGUAGGCGACCUGCCCUAUAGUUUGGAAUAACCUCGUGAAAAUGGGGCUAAUACCAGAUAAUAUUGUAAAAUCAAAGGAGGACUCCCUUCGGGGAUCUUUCGCUAUAGGAUGGGCCUGCGUCUGAUUAGCUAGAUGGUAAGGUAAAUGCUUACCAUGGCAAUGAUCAGUAGUUGGUCUGAGAGGAUGAUCAGCCACACUGGGACUGAGAUACGGCCCAGACUCCUACGGGAGGCAGCAGUGAGGAAUUUUGCGCAAUGGGCGAAAGCCUGACGCAGCAACGCCGCGUGAUCGAAGAAGCUUUGCGGAGUGUAAAGAUCUGUCAUAAGGGAAGAAUAGUAUGUAUUCUAACACAAUACAUACCUGACGGUACCUUAUAAGAAAGCACCGGCUAACUAUGUGCCAGCAGCCGCGGUAAUACAUGGGGUGCAAGCGUUGUCCGGAUUUAUUGGGCGUAAAGGGUUCGUAGGUGGAUCAGUCAGUCAAAAUUGAAAUCCAAUGGCUUAACCAUUGUCACGGUUUUGAUACUACUGAUCUUGAGUUAAAUAGAGGUAAGUGGAAUUCCUGGUGUAGCGGUGAAAUGCGUAGAUAUCAGGAGGAACGCCAAAGGAGAAGUCAGCUUACUGGAUUUAUACUGACACUGAGGAACGAAAGCGUGGGUAGCAAACAGGAUUAGAGACCCUGGUAGUCCACGCUGUAAACGAUGAGCACUAGAUGGUGGGUGAUUCGACCCUCUCACUGUUACAGUUAACGCAUUAA